UAGAUCUUGCUCCCCCCUUGCUCCAUUGAAUUUUCGGUAGUCAACCCAACCACCAUCUCUUCAAUUUGAUUUUCUUUGCAUUCUUGAAGACACGCAUAAGGCAAAAUGGAAGAUAAUUCUUUCACUGUCUACAUCACUUUCUUUCUCAAGCUCUCAAGCACUCUCUCAACCCUUUCAUUUUCGGCCAGCAGGCAGCAACCCCUUCCCAUGGCUGAAACCACUUUGUUUUACUGGUAAACCAUCCCGGUUUUCCGGUGACUGCCUCCCAACCCGACCUGAACUUCAAACAAACCACAUAUUCCGCACGUAUUGGACCUCCUAAGUCCAUUGUCGACAUCCAUUUUUCCAUUUGAGGCCUCCUUCAGCCUGCACCAGCUCAGCACAGUAGCCCCUCCCUUGAGUUUUGUCGGUUUUUCGGUGAGCUUCCUUCCUCCACGACUUUGGCGAGUCGUGCCCACAUGUGCAGGAGAGCCACCUGCAGUUCACACCCUUCCCAUGACUAGGAGAGUCAUGGACCAAGGGCCCAACCCCUCAUCUUCCCGACAUGCCCUGCUCUCCUCUUGGGUCUCCUUCCCUAUCUCUCUCGGCUUACCCUCACACGGGUCAGUCCGUGACCCUACAGCUCGUGCGCCACCCGCAUCCAGGGGUCCCUCAGCUGCCCCGAGCCAUUGAGCACGCGCGCCACAGCCUCCUCCCUCGCCCGUUGAGCUGAGCCAACUCUCGGCUCUUGUGCGGUUGAUUUUGUGUUUUCAAUUGGCCAAAUUAUGAAACUUUCUUGUGCUUCCCUCUGGUUGUACUACCAAAGAGAUGCUGUGAAUUACAACACAAAUCGAUUUAGAUGGCCGGGAAUGGUAGUAGUGUUCUCUUUGUCUCUAGGCUGAUAACGAGUUGUAAUCAACAUUUCUUCUUGUGCUAUUGAUUGAAAAACGAAAAGUUCUUAAGGAAAUUCUUUUAAACUGAAGCAAAGUAAUGAACUUUGAUCGGCAAAUUGUCUUAUUGCAACCCUAAUUUAUAUUGUCUGUAUUAAAAAACCAGUGAAUGAAAUUACACUUCAUAAUCAUUUGAGAUAAAAUAAUUUUUUUAGAAAGGUUUUCUUGCCCCCAGUUUUACAUGUUCUCAUUAGGCUAUGCAGUCAUGAUAUAUUUUUUUAGGUAGACAGAUUAUUUUUUAGGUAGAUUCAGUCAUGAUAUUUUUUAAUAUACAAUAUAUAGCUGCUUUGUUCCCUCUUAGUGACUGAUGUCCCAUCUGUUAUUUCGCAUUUACAAAGUGAUUAUUGCUAUGAGACUCUUCUUUUAGUAUCCUUUCAAAAUUUUAUGAUUCGUAUUUGACUCAAGCAAUUAGAGGUCCUGUCAAAAGAAUUAACCACAAACUAUUUGCUUGUUUAAGUAGACAAGGAGUUUUUAAAAUCUUUUUGCUUGUGAGAAAUUAUAUUCGCUUAUAUGCAAUUAACCGACAUUCUCUAUUUCUUUAUGAACCUUUUCUGCCACAUUUAAGUAUAGGUGCUCUUACAGUAACGUCUAUUAUGCAUGUUCAACCCUAUAACGACAAAGGGUGCGUACAAAACCUGCAAUUAAAAUCCAAAAACGAGCACGAGCAUUUUUCUCGGCUGCUACCUCAUAAUAGCAAUCUUGCACUGUUGAAGGUAUGUGCAUAGUUACACUUUUGAAAUUACUUUUGAAAGGUAAACAGUACUUUCCCCAACGUUUUUCUUUCUUCUGGUCACUUACCUGACCCUUCACAGCUUUCGUUUUUUUCACAUUUGACCUCACUACCCACUGAAUGCCCGCGCCUUCCAUUUGCAUGUUCGACAAAAUUCAUUUCCUUUCCUCUUUUAGGGGCAGGUAUUAUUGCCCGACCUGGUGUUAGUUGCCCUAACGGUCCUCACAUGCUCUUCCACACUAACUUAUUACUUUUGUGGCAUCACCAGAUGCAAGAAUGACGCUACUCUGUUUGUCGAUAUUAUUUAUAUUCAAGUUUGGCUUGCUGUUGUCUGUGGUUGACCAUGAAAGCAAUAACUGGUCCCCGUGUUCCAUGAUUCCUUUGCUUGUAUCUGUUUUUAUGUCUGUCUUUGUGGCCUCAUUAGUUUAGUGGCUGCCUAAAUUUUCGCCCCAUACAUGUUCAGCUCCUCUGAUGCUUUUGUUACAAAAAUUAAUGUGGAGAGGCAUGCUAGGUGUUGUUCUGUCUGUCUCUCUUUUUCAUACAUCUGUUUGUCAUUGGGCUAUCAUUUAAAAUUAUUUGUGAUUAUUUGUGUGCACUUAGCUUUCUCAGAUUAAGAAUAUGUUCCAUGUAUACUUCAAUGACAGCACAUUUUGGCAUGAAUUCAGUGGGCUAAUCACUUGCAUUCGGUGAAGGGCUUUCUCAAUAAUUGGUAUCUAUUUGUACCAUUCUUACACUCUUUAUAUUAGCAGCAUAAUUAGCACUCUGCUCAUGUAUUGGGAUAGUUCUUUUUUGAUUGACUACUGACUAUUCAUUUAUAUUUCAUUGCAUUAUGUCUUUGAUUUGAGAAAAAGUCGGGUGGCCUGUUUAUCGAUUGAACUAUACUUAAUCAUGCCAUUGCCUUUUCGACAUUAAGCUCUAUUGCUAUAUGUAAUACAUUAAUGCAAUAUUUUCCUUUGAUUUACUCACAUGUUUUUUCUAGCAUGGGAAUUACCAUUGCAGUUGAAAUAUAUUCACCAUCUAUCUACGUGAUUCUAAUCUUUGCAAGUGUUAUUGAUCUUUCUAGCUUUUUUUUAGUUUGUUGUUCCUGAUUCCCUCGGGUCCAUGCAAUGGCCACAUUAAGAGGAGGACAAAAGUCGUGACUUCGUAAUUUGUGUAUCUUUGCAACAAAAUUGAAGAGCAAAUUGAUUCAAGUCACACAUGGGGAAGGAUCAUUGCUUCUGGGAUUGCUGAAGAAGGCUAUUUCUCUUGCUCGAAAUAAUUGCUUCCAAAAUAAGUAUUUCACUAUGAAAAUAUACUCUCUCUCUGUCUCUAUAUAUAUAUAUGCCCGUAUACACUCAUCUGUUUGUCAUUGUUAUAUUUGGAUAUUUUGUUUGUUUAGAUGUAUUUUACUAUUCUUAAUUCUAAUUCAUAGUAAACAAUACUUUUGCUC